rnacentral:rRNA from 1 species
GAAUCCCGUCUUUGGCACGGACACACCAGGGCUUUUGUGAUGCGCUCUCGAAGAGUCGAGUUGUCUGGGAAUGCAGCUCAAAAUGGGUGGUGAACUCCAUCUAAAGCUAAAUAUUGGCGAGAGACCGAUAGCGAACAAGUACCGUGAGGGAAAGAUGAAAAGCACUUUGGAAAGAGAGUGAAACAGUACGUGAAAUUGUUGAAAGGGAAACGCUUGAAGUCAGUCGCGUCGACCGAGACUCAGCCUUGCCUUGGCUUGAUGUACUUCUCGGCUGACGGGUCAGCAUCAAUUUUGCCCCUUGGAUAAUGGCGAGGGAAAUGUGACACCUUUACGGUGUGUUAUAGUCUCUCGUCGCAUGCAAGGGUUGGGAUUGAGGAACUCAGCACGCACCUUUGGGUGUCGGGGUUUUGCCCACGAUACGUGCUUAGGAUGUUGGCGUAAUGGCUUUAAACGACCCGUCUUGAAACACGGACCAAGGAGUCUAACAUGCCUGCGAGUGUUCGGGUGGAAAACUCGUGCGCGCAAUGAAAGUGAAAGUUGGGACCUCUGUCGUGGAGGGCACCGACGCCCGGACCAGACCUUCUGUGACGGCUCUGCGGUAAAGCAUGUAUGUUAGGACCCGAAAGAUGGUGAGCUAUGCCUGAAUAGGGUGAAGCCAGAGGAAACUCUGGUGGAGGCUCGUAGCGAUUCUGACGUGCAAAUCGAUCGUCAAAUUUGGGUAUAGGGGCGAAAGACUAAUCGAACCAUCUAGUAGCUGGUUCCUGCC